AUUAACCCAACCCCACCCUUCCAAAUCCCUCUUCAGUCGUCUUCCCCAAAUAAAAAAUCCCUAAAACCUCCAUUAAAUUUAAUUUCUGCCUAAUCUGUUAUGUUUUCUUUCUAAAUUCAAAGUUUGCAGCUUCAGAUGAGCACCCGAGGCAGUUCAUAAACAUGCCAGAAGAUGCACUUCAGAUGGUUCUUUCUCAAGUCACAGACCAGAACUUGAAGCUCACCUUACAAUUUUGAAUUGGAUUGCACCAUGCUGGACUGAAUGAUAAAGACAAAUCAUUGGCCGAGGAACUAUUUGCAAACAACAAGAUUCAGGCAACUAUAUCAUCUGAAAAUUUCAGAUCUCUAUGAGCAAUAAUAUACUGAAAUUGAAGCUUAUAUUUGAGUCAUUUUGGCGGCAAAUUUCUAGGUGUUGGUCUGUACAAGUACGUUAGCAUGGGUGGUAAACCUUCCUGCAUAUUUGGUUACUAUUAAGGUAUCCUUUUUGAAUUUUGGACUUCAAUCAGAUGUGAACUACGCUAUUAUGAAAAGAAAUCUGUGUGUUAUUGAGUUAUGGAAAACAAACGUGCAAGUUGUUAAUCCAUAUAUAGCUUUAAGUUAUUUCGUUUUCUUCUUGGUUUGUUAUUCUGUUAAGAAUCAGUAGUUGUUGACUUAUCUGUUGCUUAAGUUCAUUUUGUAUUUAAGAACGUUACUCUUCACUCCUAUUUUUUUUUUUUAAUCUUGUAAGAGUUGUGAGUUUGGUGCGAAUGUUCAGCACUGCCUCAGCCUGCAUUUAGCUUGCACAUACUCACAUUAGCUUGAUAAAAUAGUGUUGCUGCUUCACAGAGUCAUCACCAGUUGAUUGAA